UAUAUUUCUUUUCCUUCCUGGUCUAUAGCACUCAGUAAAACAUUAAAAGCAUGAGUGCAGAAAUGAGUGACUCAUCGAAUGCCAGUGUUGCUCAGUCUCUCUUUGAAACACCAAUAUCUGAGCAAACCCAAGCUGGUGCUUUGGACGUGUGGAGUGAUAUCAGCUUUGCCCAGGAGAAAAGCGACUCAAGAAACAAACUCUGUGCUCUAUCUGAGCACCUGAAAAGUCAAGUUUCCCAAGGCCCUGCCCUGAGGCAGCCUGGCUGUCCUCUAUUUGUGUGUGCUGAAAUCUUCCCACCAUCAGACAGCCUACAGAGGACUCCCGCAGGACCAGAAGAGCCUCAUCCACCUUGAAGUUCCUGAUUAGCCUUCUCAUUCUGCUGCCUUUCCUGCUCACAGAAACAACUGUUCUUCUAUGUAGUCCAGUGCACAAGCUUGAACACCAGGAAGAAGACAUACUUACUGGAUGGAGAUACCAGAGUCUUUCCAUUGUUUCCUAUGGCUUGAACAUACUAGAACUUCCAUGUGUUCUUGGAAUAAUUUGCUCAGAUUUCUCUGUCUGGAGUGCCUCUGCACAGGGCAGCAAGAUACCUAUGUUCAGAUGGUGCCCUGUGUAAGGGCUCAGAGCUGAAGGGUAAAGGGAGGGCUGGCAUCUCAGGUAGAGCCUACACUCUGGGCACCUUGCAUGGAGCAGCAUUGCCUAUGAGGUAGGGCCUUUUUAAAAUUUGAACAAAGGAUCCUAAAACUAGCUGCCCUGCAGCCCCACUCCCCCAGCUGCCUAAAUCCUGUCCAUCCAUCAGGGCCCAAAUCCAGAUCACUCCUUAGCACUGCUACAGUGCAGAAUCAACUGUUCCUUCAUUAGCUUUCUCAGAGCUCCUUAUUUACAACUCAGUUACAAUUCUUAUCACAGCCGAAAUUGUUUUACAUGCUUUGAGGGCAUAUGAUACUAGGCUGACAGUUAUGUACUGCUUGAAGCUAACAGUCCCAGUCUUUUCUGGCUUCCAAUAGUGUUGUGGGAUGCUAAGGUCAUUAUAAUUGCUCUUUCUUCAAGGAAUGUGUCUUUUCUCUCUAGGUGCUUUUAAGAUUCUCCAUUUUGAUAUUCAUUGUUUCAUUUUGAUGGGAUUAUUUGCAGAUUUCCUUUUAUUUAUUCUACUUGUUUUUUAAUUUUAAUUCCUAAUGUUUGGAAAAUCCUUAGCUAGUAUCUCUUUGAACACUGACCUUUCAUCAUUCUCUCUAUAAUCUCCUUUUAGAUUUCCAAAUAGAUAUAUGUGAAACUUUUUUUACUUUUUUCCCCAUAUGCUUUAACCAUUUAAAGAAUAUUUUCAUUGUUUUAUAUCUCUGGAUUGCAUUUGGAAUUUUUACUUCCGUAUUCUAGUUCACUAAUCUGUACUUAGGUGUUUCUGUGCCUAAUUCAGACCAAUUUACUUGCCUGUUGAGCAUGCAGAUCAAGAAGCAGCACUGAACUGAACUGAACAUGGAACAACAGGUUCCAAAUUGGGAAAGGAGUACAUCAAGG